CUGGGGCGGGGAGGAAGGCGCGCUCCGCCUCGCCCAUUGGCUGGCGGCGCCGGCCACUCACCGUACAGCCCGGGCCCUACCGCCCGCAGCCCGACUACCCGAGGCCAAGCGCGGCCGGGGAAGGGGGCCGCCCCCCGCCCACGCCCUGGUUCGAGCGGCCCCGCUCACUCCCUCUGCCCUCCCUCGGGGAAUGCCGCGGCGGCCACGCCCUCCGCCCACGGCAGCCUCUCACCCCCCGCGGCGGGCGGUGGCGCCCCUCCGCCAGCUUUAGCGCCCCGCCCCUCCACCCGAAGCGCGUGAGCUCAUUGGCUGUGGGUGCUGUCACUCCGACUCUCUCCCACCAGCCCAGGAGGCGGCCCGGCUGCGUUCCGCCUCUCUACCCGGAGCGCGCUCGCUCAUUGGCUAUUGAAGCUGUCACUCCGCCUCGCCCCGCCGGGCCGAGGGCGGCUCGGCGGCGCCUCUCUGCGCACCUGCGGCAGGGCUGGGCCCGGCCGCGCCCUGCGCCGCUGAGGCACCGUGCGGUGCGGUGCUCUGCAGUUUUUGCUUGAAUGUCAGUGCCCCAGGGACCGAGGUCCGGCUCUGUGCGCUCACUGCACGUAGUCUGCCUGCCUUUCGCCUGUCCCCGCGAAACGGGAGGCACAGACGGGAGGAGCCGGGAAUAACGGAAUGGAUGAGGCGGCCCUGAUGGACGCCUGGCACACAGAGAUGGCAGCAGUGCUCGGAUGAUUCUCUUUGAAGGAAGUGGUCUAUUUGUAUAGGAAGGUGAUUUUACUUCUAUGGAAAGGAGGGGCAAGUUACUACCCCUGAGGCCAACUGGUACUGUACAUAUCCAAAAGGAAGUACCAGGACAGGAAGAAGCAUACAGCACUCAAUUCACAGAGUAGGACUUGCCAUACAAUUAACGAAAUGCCUAAAUGACAAAUGCAGUGCACUGAAACCUGCCAUGAGAGAUUUUCAAAGACAGUCACAAAAGACAAAGCAUUGAAGCUCCACUAAUUUGCAGGGAUUGGCCUGUCCCUGUCGCUGGCUGAAGCAGGGAGCCUGUGCCCAUGUGGUGUGAGCACAGCUGGCUCUUGGAUGUAUUCCGACCGUUUUAGCAACCGCUGAGAGGUGAUGCCCAUCUAAUAAAUGAGGUCCACUCUAAAAACGA